rnacentral:rRNA from 1 species
GGCGGCGUGCUUAACACAUGCAAGUCGAACGGAAAGGCCCUGCUUGCAGGGUACUCGAGUGGCGAACGGGUGAGUAACACGUGGGUGAUCUGCCCUGCACUUCGGGAUAAGCUUGGGAAACUGGGUCUAAUACCGGAUAGGAACCAUCUUUAGUGUGGUGGUUGGAAAGUUUUUUCGGUGUAGGAUGAGCUCGCGGCCUAUCAGCUUGUUGGUGGGGUAAUGGCCUACCAAGGCGGCGACGGGUAGCCGGCCUGAGAGGGUGUACGGCCACAUUGGGACUGAGAUACGGCCCAGACUCCUACGGGAGGCAGCAGUGGGGAAUAUUGCACAAUGGGCGCAAGCCUGAUGCAGCGACGCCGCGUGGGGGAUGAAGGCCUUCGGGUUGUAAACUCCUUUCGCUAGGGACGAAGCUUUUUGUGACGGUACCUAGAUAAGAAGCACCGGCUAACUACGUGCCAGCAGCCGCGGUAAUACGUAGGGUGCGAGCGUUGUCCGGAAUUACUGGGCGUAAAGGGCUCGUAGGUGGUUUGUCGCGUCGUCUGUGAAAUUCUGGGGCUUAACUCCGGGCGUGCAGGCGAUACGGGCAUAACUUGAGUGCUGUAGGGGUAACUGGAAUUCCUGGUGUAGCGGUGAAAUGCGCAGAUAUCAGGAGGAACACCGAUGGCGAAGGC